AGGUACUUUAUGGUUUCUUCAUGGGUGGUGGGACCACCAUCCAGCUGCCUGCUGUCCCACACCAUGACCAAAAACAUCUUAGGAAGAAAGGAUUUCUUUAGCUUGCAUAUUCCAGUCAAAGCCCAUCAAUGAAGAUAGUCAAGGUUCCUGCCCUACUUGAGUUCCUGCCUUGACUUCCCUUCAAUGAUGGUCAAUGAUCAGGAUAUGUGAGCCAAAUAAACCCUUUCCACCCGAGGU